CCGUGUGAGAAUGAACUAAUACAGAGGACGAGGACACAGAAGCACAGAGAAGAAUCUCACACUCUUGGGACCAAGCUGAGCGAGAUCAGGUUUCCAGGCAUCCACAUGUGGUUCCUAUAAUGAAGACAGACGAUCUCCUUGAGUGGAAAGCAGUUUUCCAUCACUGGCAUCCCAGAAACAGUACCUGGGAUCUAUUAAAGCCUUAGUCCUCCAUGCUCUUGAGGUGCUGGGCACAGGGAGGAGAAAGCUGGGUGACCUCCAGAGGGAGAGGGGAGCCCGUGAGUGCCAUGUUGGGAUGGGAGAAGCAAAGCCUCAAGGACAAGAAGCUGAAGCAAGAGGGGCCAUGCUCUGCCCAUGCACCAGGGGAGGGGCAGAAAGAAGAAAGCUGCGGAGCCUGCAGGAGGCUGGCUGAUUUCUCACCAGCUGAGCCCUCCCCAGGCAGCUUUGUCCAGGCCUUCAUGGCUGUGGAGAAUAGAUCCUGCAUGCCUUUUGUCCUCUGCGAGCAUAUGCCACUCCGGUAUGGCCACCAAAUGUUCUUCUCCGUGGUGCAUGCCAGGGAGCUUUGCACACAGCAUUCCAUAGAUAGCGGGGACUAG
rnacentral:lncRNA from 1 species